AAUGGCCCCGAUCCAAGCCGUGGUGGUUUCUUAUAGCUGCUGUGGAUAGAAGUGAGCCAAGAUUAAUAUUUCUUUGACGGUCGCUGUUUGGAUUGUUGUAUCUAACCGCAACAUAUAAAGAAAUUAUAAUU